UACAGAGGGUGCGAGCGUUAAUCGGAAUUACUGGGCGUAAAGCGUGCGUAGACGGUUAUUUAAGUCGGGUGUGAAAGCCCCGGGCUCAACCUGGGAAUUGCAUUCGAGACUGAAUAGCUAGGGUACGGUAGAGGGAAGCGGAAUUUCCGGUGUAGCGGUGAAAUGCGUAGAUAUCGGAAGGAACAUCAGUGGCGAAGGCGGCAACCUGGCUCGUAACUGACGCUCAUACACGACAGCAUGGGGAGCGAACGGG
rnacentral:rRNA from 1 species